UACAGAGGUCUCAAGCGUUGUUCGGAUUCAUUGGGCGUAAAGGGUGUGUAGGUGGCGCCGUAAGUCGGGUGUGAAAUUUCGGAGCUUAACUCUGAAACUGCAUUCGAUACUGCGGUGCUUGAGGACUGGAGAGGAGACUGGAAUUCAUGGUGUAGCAGUGAAAUGCGUAGAGAUCGGGAGGAACACCCGUGGCGAAGGCGGCUCACUGGGCUGACCUUGACGCGUGAGGCGGCGAAGGCGUGGGGAGCGAACGGG
rnacentral:rRNA from 1 species